UUGGUGCUGCGCGUGGUUGGCUCGAGGCUCGUGCGAUUUCAGGCGAAGCCUUCGUCCGCGGGUUCGUGCGUGUGUGUGUGGUUCGAGUGCUGCGACGGGGGUGUCGCGGUGUUCGAGGGCUGCGCGCGAGAAAACCGGGGUCGCGUGUGUGAAGUUUGGGCGACAAAGACCGCACGGGUGUGUCGCGCGAAGUAGUAGCGUGCGUGUGCGUGACAGCGAAGGCCACCGGAGUUCCGUCGCCGGAAUUUUGUGCCGGCGAAAGUCAGUGGUCCCAAUUUCAUAAGCGGCUCGUUCUAUUAAGUCAGCGAAAAUUCUCCGUUACAAGACUAGGUGUGCUGGUGUUGCUGCAUAUUCUCGAGCAUAUGGGGACUAGGCUUUGGUAUUUACAUUAAAGCAGUUUUAAAUAAGUAUUAUUGGUUUUUCUAAGACUUAUAUAAAUGGUUUGUGGUUUGAAGGAAAGGGGUCAUUGAUGAUUCCCGAGUUGUAUUUAUAUUUUAAUUCCCGCUGCAUUUUAGUUUUCAAGAUGAUGUUUUAAGUUAUCGUUAACUCUUAUUAUGCCUUGCGUUCCAUCGCGGCGGUAACGCCCCCGAAGUCGACGCGACGUAGCAGUGGUAGACGCGUGUGGAUUUUGGGGGUGUUAC